rnacentral:tRNA from 1 species
GCCGCCGUAGCUCAGGGGUAGAGCGCAUCCUUGGUAAGGAUGAGGCCCACAGUUCGAUUCUGUGCGGCGGCACCA